rnacentral:rRNA from 1 species
AGCGGCGUACGGGUGAGUAACACGUGGAAGAUCUGCCCUUUUGUGGGGAAUAACUCUGGGAAACCGGAGCUAAUACCGCAUAAGCCCUAGAGGGGAAAGCAGCAAUGCGCAGAAGGAGGAGUCCGCGGCCGAUUAGCUCGUUGGCGGGGUAAUGGCCCACCAAGGCAACGAUCGGUAGCCGGCCUGAGAGGGCACACGGCCACACUGGCACUGAGACACGGGCCAGACUCCUACGGGAGGCAGCAGUGGGGAAUCUUGCACAAUGGGGGAAACCCUGAUGCAGCGACGCCGCGUGAGUGAUGAAGCCCUUCGGGGUGUAAAGCUCUUUCGACGGGAACGAUAAUGACGGUACCCGGAGAAGAAGCUGCGGCUAACUACGUGCCAGCAGCCGCGGUAAUACGCAGGCAGCAAGCGUUGUUCGGAAUUAUUGGGCGUAAAGAGUAUGUAGGCGGUUGGCUAAGUUUGGUGUGAAAUCUCCUGGCUUAACUGGGAGGGUGCGCUAAAUACUGGCCGGCUUGAGUGUGGGAGAGGAGAGUGGAAUGCCUGGUGUAGCGGUGAAAUGCGUAGAUAUCAGGCGGAACGCCGGUGAUGUAGAUGGCUCUCUGGACCACAACUGACGCUGAGAUACGAAAGCGUGGGUAGCAAACAGGAUUAGAUACCCUGGUAGUCCACGCCCUAAACGAUGC